rnacentral:rRNA from 1 species
GGUUUUGAUCUGGCUCCAGGUUACCGGGUGUGGCACGGAUGCUACACCAUGCAAGUCGAACGCCCGGCACAGUUUUCGGUCUGGUGGCGAGUGGCGAACGGGUGAGUAAUGUGUGGAACGGUGAUGCUGUGCUUGGGGAUAACUGCGAAAGCGUAGCUAAUACCACCUCGCCCUUCGAAGGGGAAAGCGGGGACCUUCGGGCCUCGCACUAUUAAACGGCCGAUAUCGGAUUAGCUAGUUGGUGGGGUAACGGCUCGCAAGGCACGACGUCCGUGCUGGUUUUGAGAGAACGUCCACGCUGGACUGAGACACGGCCCAGACUCACGGGAGGCAGUGGGGAAUUUUGGUUAAUCAGGAAGCCCUGAUCCAGCCAUCCCGUGCGAUGAAGGCCUUCAGUUGUAAGCACUUUUGGCAGAAAGAAACGGCACGGGAUAAUACCCCGUGCAACUGACAGUACCUGCAGAAUAAGCACUGACAAUACGCGCCAGCAUCGCGAUGUCCACGUAGGGUGCAAGCGUUAAUCGGGAGUACUGGGCGUAAAGCGUGCGCAGGCGGUUCGGAAAGAAGAUGUGAAAUCCCAGAGCUUAACUUUGGAACUGCAUUUUUAACUACCGAGCUAAAUUAUCGGAGAAAUUGGAAUUCCGUGUAGCGGUGAAAUGCGUAGAUAUGCGGAGGAACACCGAUAACGGCUGGACCUCUACCUGGGAUAACACUGACUCAUGCACGAAAGCGUGGGGGCAAGCAGUUAGAUACCUGGUAAGUCACGCCUAAACGAUGUCAACUAGCUAUUUUAGGGCCUUCGGGCCUUGGUUGGCCGCAACUAACGUGAAGUUGACCGCCUGGGGGAAGUACGGUCGCAAGAUUAAAACUCAAAGGAAUUGACGGGGAUGCACAGCGGUGGAUGAUGUGGUUCGAUCACCCUUUUGAAAAACCUUACCUGCCCUUGACAUGUCUGGAAUCCCGAAGAGAUUUGCGGUGCUCGCAGAGCCGGAACACAGGUGCUGCAUAGCUGUCGUCAGCUCGUGUCGUGAGAUGGGUUAAGUCCCGCAACGAGCGCAACCCUUGUCAUUAGUUGCUACGAAGGGCACUCUAAUGAGACUGCCGGUGACAAACCGGAGGAAGGUGGGGAUGACGUCAAGUCCUCGCCAAGCGCUAUGGGUAGAGCUCACACGUCAUACAAUGGUCGGGACAGAGGGUCGCCAACCCGCGAGAGGCCAAUCCCAGAAACCCGGUCAUGUAGUCCGGAUCUAGAGAUCUGCAACUCGACUGCGUGAAGUCGGAAUCGCUAGUAAUCGCGGAUCAUGUCGCGGUGAAUACGUUCCCGGGUCUUGUACACACCGCCCGUCACACCAUGGGAGUGGGUUUUACCAGAAGUAGUUAGCUAACCGUAAGGAGGGCGAUUACCACGGUAGGAUUCAUGACUUAGGGUGAAGUCGUAACAAGGUAA